GCGCGGUGGGGGCGAGCGCUUGCCGCCCGCAGUGUGAGAGGAGCCGGUUUGCCCUUUGAUACUGUGCCUUUAAAACUUCCUCGGCUUCCCACUCCUGAAGCGAAGAGAAAUUAAGCGUGAGGUAAAAUCCACGCCCAGGAGGAUCAGAGUUAGUUUGCGCUCGGUGCAGCUGCGAAAAUGAUGCUCUGUGAAAUCCUGAGCCCCCUUCCCCCCCGAACUUCACCGAAAAGAGCCUCCGACCCUUCCGAGAGACGGUGGUCGUCGUGAACAAACUCGACGGAACUGUUCACUUAGCGCGCCUCGGGGGAGAAGUUGAGGCAGGCUCUGGCAGGAGCGACCCCUUCCCGGCUCCUGCGGGACGUUUUGGUUCCCGCUCCAGGAGUCCCAGGACUGGGAAUGACAGCUGGGGCCCCGCACCUCGGGCUGGGCCCGACACCCGUCCGCUGCGCCGGGACCUCCGCUUUCUGGAGUCGGGCCUUUCGGCUUCCUUGUUGAAAUCGUGACAGCUUUGGAGUGAAAUUAGGACAAUGAUCCUAUUUUUUUUUUUCUCUAGAGUUUAUUACCUCUGCCUUAAGAUGUUUCUCUCAUGGACAGAAACUUAGAAGAUUCCGUUUUUGUAUUUUCUUUUCCAGAAACUUUUGAUGGAAUACAUAAAAUUUGGACUUUAAAAACGGCCGCCCACUUUGUUGCCUAGCGCUUUUGUGUUUGGGAAGGGGGCUGCCUUUUCAGCUUAUUUUUAAAUCACCGACCUUGGUCGUUUUUUUCCGUGUCUCUAGAAGUUAAUCUUUACCUGAGGCCUUUCUCUUGGUUUUAUGGCAAAAAAGUUAAGUGGACAGUGGUUUAAGCCUACCCUAAAGAACUAUGUAGGUCUCCCGCCCACGCCUCUUUUUUAACUGUAUCGGACUCCCAUGAAAACUGGGCAAACUGCUUUGAUUUUAGGACACAGAAAACAUCGUAAGGGGGAUUUGGGGCACUUAUCUUAAUAGAAUUAUUGGUUUAUGGUGUUUAUUAACUUAGAUGGCAUUAGGUCUUUACUGUAUUUGAGGUUAUUGCUUGAUGAUAAGCAAAUGUAGGAAGUCAAGAAACUCUUAAAACUGGAGUUAUUCUCUGGGCGGUAUUUUGUAGUAUUACAUGGUUUUAACAGAUUCUGAAAUGUCAGGUGAAGCCCUUGACUGAUAACAUGGACUGUUGGUUCUUUUUAAAACUUUAAAUAGAUUACUGAGAAGGGAGAUAUAAAAUGCUUGAUAAUUGUGCAUCUUUUUUAACAGUGGAAAUGGGAAGAAAUGGGGAGGAUAGUGUUUUUCUAGAAUUUAAUAACUAGUAGUUAUUCUAGAAACCAGAAAUAUGCUUGAGGAACUCCAAUAAGGGUAAAAUUGUACAUUGUAUUUUUAAAAUGUUAAGGAGAAUAUGUACUUGUAAAGCUAAAAUACUCAAAUGAGCAGCAUUGAAUGAGAUAAAAUAGAAUAAUUUUUCCAUAUAUCAUUUUUCCUCAGAUUAAAACAAUAGCUAUCUUGAUUUGCUUUAAAAUUUAAGGUAUAAUUAAAUUUGGCAGGUACCUAUUUGGGAUCAUUCAAAAUACUUUAUUUCAUUUAUUAUAAACAAUUCCUUUCCUCAGUAAUAGGUUUUUGAGCAGUGUGGUUUGCUUGAGAUGCUGGCACUUAAUUACAGUAGAUGUCAUUACAUUUUUCAUAUCAUUGCUCUAGUUUUUCUUCACUGUGUUUAGUUAGGUACUAUUGGCAUUAAUUUGUCGGCUCUCAAAUUUAAAUUAUGGAGAAAUAAUAGGUACAAUCCUUAGAUAUUAAAUCUAGUGUUAGGAUAAAAUAGGUUUAUUUAAAGAGAAUAAUGUUUCUGAUAGUUCUUUUAAUCAUAAAAAUAAAAAAAGAAUUAAUUAUGUUUUAAGUUUCUUGAUGUAUCUAAAAACUAUUCACAUUAGAAGUGAUCUCCCAAGUGUUUCAGAAAUGUUUAUAGUAUAGAGUGGAAAAGUUAGUUUUCUGUUAGAAUAUAUUUCCAAAGAAUACAAAAUAAAAAAAGCUUUCAUUGAAUUCAGAGUUAAAUCUUAAAUAAGAAAUAGUAAAAUUUGAUCUAAGUAUUUUAAACUGUAUUUUCAUUGAGGACUUUUUAACAGUGCCUUCUAGUAAGUGUACUGAAAGUAAAUUAGUACAAUGUAAGUACCCCAAUGUGGCUGCUUUGUUUGUGGCUAUUGAGGCUUUUUUCUCCGCAUCUUUUUGAAGGACGAGUCCAAGAAAUUACCAAGAGGAUUCUGAGGAAGAUUGAGAUGAAGGAGAAAAAAUUCAAACAUGAUUAUGGUGUAUAUGUGUGUUAAUUUGAAGCAGGGAAGGGGUUGAAAACAAGAGUUAAUGGUCAAAAUAUUCUUUCAAAAUCCCAAGCAGUUUUUAGUGUAUUAUAUAAUUGACUGUCUAGCCAACCUGAAGUUAUUGAAUAUUAUAAAAUACAGCAGAUCCCAGAAAAAUAAAUCGUUUCUGAAAAUCCUUAAUCAUGGCUAUGUCAAGUAUGUAACCUACUCUAUAUUGUCUAAAUCGCACUAUUUGAAGCCAAUUUAUAAAUUAAAUGUGUUAUAAAAUUAAUUAAAUAGGUAAUUUCCCUUUUAAGAGAAAUGCCCCUUUUUGAGGGACUAUUUUUUAAAACAUCAAAAAUAGCCCUAAUUCUUUGAGUAAAGCAAUAGUUAUAUUAAUUAAAAGUUAUACUUUUAACAUGAGGAAAUGCUAUUUAUAUUGGCCUUGGAAGCAUUUAUGCUAAGUAGUUUGUGGCCCAGUUUCCAUUUCUGUAUCUGUGCUGCCUUUGACAAAGGAUUCAGUAUGGAGGGUGUGAAAGAUUUUAAAGGGAGAAUUAGUAAAACUAGCUAUGUGGGUUUUUCACCGGUCAGCCCUAUGAGCCUAUGUCCACGUGAAUUCAGAACCAGAGGAGAAGUUCUAAGAAUCUGAUUCCCCACAGCUCCUUUGCACUGAUUCCUGGUGAGUUAGUAGCAAAGAGCCAUCUCUGCCAUUUCCAAAGCCGACUUCAUGAUCCACAGCAAAUCAAACCCACGGAAUCUUUUAGUCUUGUCCAGUUCAGCUCCACUUCCUUGCCAGGGGCAUAACAGCCGAAGUUAAAAGACUUAUACUCAAAUGGGAAAAUUAGUGCCAUUUGUGUAUAUGCAGUAGCCUUAUUCAAACUGCUUUCAACCUAAUUGGAAAAAAAAAGUAUGAUUUGAUUAUAAGUCCUCCAGGGUGGGUAGUGUGUAGGAGACUGCGGUUCAAGACUGCAUUUAGGUUUUUCACUUAUUUUGAAUUAUUUAGAGUUUGUCUUGUAGCUCUCUGGUUUGUUUCUUUGUGACUUACUCAGCCUCUACAAUUUGGAAGAGAGAGAAAGCACAAUACAAUGGUAAAUUUUAAACGUGUAAGCUGGUACUAUAUUGGUCGCAUAAAACUUCCACUUCUGCUGUGGGAACUCCCUGUUGGAUUUUCUUCUUUGUACUUGAAAUCUAAGUUCUUUACUUGGAAGUAAUUCUUAUUCUGAGAAGGGCAGCAGAAAAAGGAAAAAAAAAAAAAAUCCUGCAUCAGGCAACUGAUUUUUUAAAUUAUCUCUGAAAUCUCAAGUAGAUUUUGGCUACUAGUAAACUGGACAUGUAAACAUAAGUUAAAUUAGCUCAGAAAAGUCUGUUCCAGAAACUGUCCUGUUUGUGAUUUGUUUUUUAGAAAAACUGAUCUUAAUGUGACAUGUAAUAUUUCUUCUAGAUUAAUACUGUUAACAUAUUUGAGGUGAAACAAGUUUAAGAAUCCAAGGUAUAAAUACAUGCAAAGGAUUGAUUCCCUAAAAGUCAAAGCAGUAAGAUCUUAUAAGCUAAAAUAACCUGAGAUUUUUGAAUUAUAAUACAUGCUCAGGUAGAAAUUCCAGUCAUAAAGUCAUUGAGUAACCCUGUGGGGUUCUGGUCAUUUUUUCUUUCUUUUAGCCUGACCUUUUACUGAUUAUCUCAACUUUGUUAGCUUUUUAUUUUUUUUAAAGUCUCAAAUACAAAGCAAUAAACUAAAAACAAAAAAACUGUGAACUUGCUGUGUUAAAUCUAUGUAUAGUGAAUGAAGUUUUUAAAUUAGAAUUUAAUUAGCUUUUAACUAGUCUGACUUCAAAUAAUUGACUAGUACUGUUGUCACUUGACCUUUCUUUUCUGUGCCAUGACCCAAAGUUGGUUUACUUUUUAUGGGUGAGAGUAGAACUAGAUUAAUUAAAAGCAAAACAAGCAAAUCCCAGCUUGCACCUGACUUCAGUGGUUUGUAACACUGCUGCAUGUUUGCCAGCAUCCUAAUAAUGAUAAAAUUGUAGGUUGUUUUAUGCUUUAUUUUUAUUUUUGGGAUCAGGAUUAGGGUGAUUGAAAAAUGAAAAGUAUAACAUUCACUUUUUAAAUUAAUGUGUAUAUUCAAAUUAACUUAUAGUAAUAAAAAUCAGUAGUUUGAAUUUAUAACAAAGCAAAAACUAUUAUUUGUACCUGGACUGUUGUAUGGUAAGUAGCGUUGUAAUUAUUUCUAAUAAAAUAAAAAAAUUAGAAUUUUAUAGAACUUUUUAACCUCUGGAAACAAAUUAAUAGUUUUGUACCAAAGAGGACAUUUUUAAUAAAAACAUCUUAAAGAUUAAAUUAGUCAAAACAUAUUUUUUCAGUUAUUUAUUAUUUUUGAACCUGAAGUCACUGAAAAUAUUACAGAUAAAAGAAUAUGUGAAAAUGUAAUGAAUAAAAGCUAGCUGUUCUUUUUUUUUUUUUGAAGAACGAAAUCUCAUACCUGCCAUUUUAAUGUAAUUUUUAUUCUUGGGAUCUAGAGGUUUUCAGGUUCUGGAGAAAAGGUCAUAAAUCAUAAGUAAUGUCAAAGAUGAUGAAAACGUUUAGAAGAUUCAGUUUCCUUUUAAAAUGCAUGUAUUUAGUACUUGGUCAAAGCUAAUGUUCUGUAUUAUUUAAUUAACACAUUAUCAAAAAGAGACCAUUGAAAAUGGAAAGCUAAUUAUAAUACAGUUAACAGUAAUUUAAAAUAAUACAUUUGUUUGAAAAGUAAAUCUUUGAAGAAAAAGUUCAUUAUAUUAGUCCUAAUAGAAUUUUUUGCUAAAUUUAUUAAAGUAGAAAUAAGUACACAUUUCAGAAUGAUAGACAAGUUUCUAUGUGUUAGCUAAAAUUAUAUUGGAAAUUUUAAAUAUAAAUGGAACUCCAUGCUGGUCUCCCAUUAAGAGUGGCAGUGAUCCAAGUACUCGUACCAUCUUCUGUUUCCUUCCCAGGUGCAUUAGCAGGGAGCUGGAUUGGAAUCGAGCAAAAAGCAGAGGUCUAAUGAGAAAACCAGCUCUGUGAGAUUAAAGAGAUUUUAUUUAUUUCAGAGGCAGAGCCACAGACAGACGGAGAGACAGACAGAUCUUCCAUCCAUUGAUUCACUCCCCAAAUGGCCGCAACUGUCAGAGCUCAGCUGAUCUGAAGCCAGGAGCCUCCUCUGGGCCCCCACACAAAUGCAGGGUUCAAGUACCUGGGCCAUCCUCCACUGCUUUCCCAGGCUACCAACAAAGGGCUGGAUCAGAAGAGGAGCAUCUGGGAUAUGAACCAGCACCCAUAUGGUAUGCUGGCACUGCAGGCAGAGGCUUAACCUACUAGACCACAGUACCGGCUCCAAGACUGUGAUUUUAAAUCAUUGAAAGAAAGGGCCAAAACAGACAAGUUUGGCAUAAUAAAUGGAGAAUUGCAGAAACCUGUGGCAGUCUAGAAAAUGGCCCUAGUUUAUGUGUGAUCAUGUAUGAGAGUGAACAACAAGGAAAUGAGCAAAUGUUGCUUAAAUGUUACCAAGCCCUGCCUUGUCCAAGCAAUGGUAUGGGUAAGCAGGUGUUGGGAAUGGAAGAGUCUUAGCAUGCACUUCUUUUGUCUCCUCCAUACCCUCAACCGUAGAGAUGCUACACCAUUAUCAUGCAUGGUUAUGGACUUCAAGUUGGCAGCCCUGUGUUUCAGUCUCAGUUCGGCACUUAACUUCUGGCUAUGUGACUGGAAUGGACUAAAAGCUGUCCUCCUCACUUUCAUUUGUUAAAUGGGGUUGUUGCUAAGCAUGAUAAUUCCCUCACAGGGAUACUGGAAGGGUCAAAUGAACUAGCUGGUGUAAGUUAAAAUAUUUUGUAAAUGUCCCUGGAUAUUUUUUACUACAAAACUUAGAUGUCUCACUGUAAAUAUUUGCAAUGGGAAGAAGGAAUUGGAGAUUUUUUUUUCCUUUUUAGUUAUUGAAGUUCUUGAACCUUUGGGACAUCAUUAAAUUCUGGGAUUCCUAACCUGGAGUUCGUUGAUCACAAGGGAGCUUAUAGACAGCAUUUAGGGGACAGGGAACUUGUAUUAAAAAACAAAAAUUGCAUUUUUAAAAAAGAUUUAUUUAUUUAUUUGAAAGGCGGAGUUACGGAGAGGCAGAGACAGAAGUCUUCCAUCUGCUGGUUCACUUCCCAAGUGGCCUCAACUGCCAGAGCCGUGCCAAUGCAAAGCCAGGAGCCAGGAGCCACCUUCAGGUCUCCCCAGCUAGUGCAGGGGCCCAAGGACUUGGGCCAUCUUCCACUGCUCUCCCAGGCCAUAGCAGAGAGCUAGAUCAGAAGUGGAGCAGCCAGGGGUCAAACCCGCACCCAUAUGGGAUGCUGGAACUGCAGGUGGCGGCUUUAUCUGCUACGCCACAGUGCCAGCCCCAAAAAUUGCAUUUUAUUUUCAUUAAACUCUAAUUGAAAUUUAGCAUUUUAUUGAAUUAUGAAUGGAGGUAACAAGUGACCACAGUACUUAGCAGAACCUAUGACAACCAACUGUAGGAAUCACAUUUGUAUCACAUUUAGUAGUUGCAGAUAAUUAGAAAUAAUGUUUGGGGCCAGCAUUGUGACAUGGCAGGGAAAGCUGCUGCCUGGGAUGCUGGCAUCCCAUAUGGGUCCUAGUUUGAGUCCUGGCUGCUGCACUUCUGAUCCAGCUCCCUGCUAAUGGCCUGGAAAAGCGCAGAAGAUGGCUCAUGUACUUGGACUCCUGUACCCUUAUGAGAGACCUCUGAAUGAAGCUUCUGGCUCCUGCAUUUUAGGGGAUGAACCAGCAAAGGAAGAUUUCUCUCUUUCUGUCUCUCCAUCUCUGUAACUAAGUUUCAAAUAAGUCUUAAAAAAAAUACUUCUGUGUGAUACAGCUUUGUUAUUAAACCUAGUGGUAGGUGUCAUUAUUUAAUACAUUAACAAAGAAUCAUAAAUAUUAUAUCAAAAUUUGUUUUAGUAUUUAGAUAUUUCAGUGUCACUGAUUUCUGUUGUAAUUUAUGUUAUGUGUUUCAUCUGAGAAGAGAUCAGUCGCUGCAAAAAAAGGAAGUUUUGCUUUGUUUUUGCAGUUAUUGUUAAAAUAGCAGGCUUACAUGGGUUUCAGCAGAUAAUGAUAUUAAAACAAACAGUAAACUACCUGCACUCUAACUAGGCUUCCAGAAAGAAAGAUUCUAGGUGUGCAAGUUAAAACAGCAUAAACUUGCAAUAUAAUGAAAUAGUGCCCUGGACAGUGUAGAACAUAUUCUUUUCACUCUGAAAAGUUUCAUCUCUGUAAUGCAUGGGGAAAGAUUCAGGCCAGACUGCACCAGUGCACUCAGAGGCAUGGAGAGCAUAGUAAAGGACAAACAGCACACAUCCCUUACAGUGUAAUGUCUUCUUGACACCUGCUGAUGAUGCUGGGACAACAGGCAAAAGCAUAUUCUUCUGAAACUCAAAUAGAGUGAUAGAUGUUUCCAUGUCAUUUUUAAAUUUUAUUUUGUUUUUGUUUGUUUGUUUUGUGGCUAUUGUAGCAUUUGACUCAUAAAAUGGCAAUAACUUACGUUAUUUUGCUUUUACUGGACUUUGUUUAAACAUUUCAUCUGAUGAGUGCCCUUACGGGAUGCCUAAUAUACUUUAUGAGUAUGUGCACCUUUCUUCGUAAAUAGAGGUUUAAUUCUCUCUUUUUUUUUUUAAGAUUUACUUUAUUUACUUGAAAGUUAGAGUUACACAGAGAGAAAAGGAGAGGCAGAGAGAGAAAGAAAGAGAGAGAGAGAGAGAUCUUCUAUCCGCUGGUUCACUCCCCUGAUGGCCGCAAUGGCUGGAACUAUACUGAUCUGAAGCCAGGAGCCAGGAGCUUCUUCCGGGUCUCCCACGUGGGUGCAGGGGCCCAAGGACUUGGGCCAUCUCCUACUGCUUUCCCUGGCCAUAGCAGAGAGCUGAAUCGGAAGAGGAGCAGCCGGGACUCAAACCGACGCCCAUGUGGGAUGCUGGCAUUGCAGGCGGCGGCUUUACCCGCUAUGCCACAGCGCUGGUCCCCAAAAGAAGGUUAGUUUUUUGAAGUUUAAGUCCUGUCUAGCCAUAUCCUCUGCUGAUCUUAUUUAGCAUCUAAAAAAAGAUAAUUCAGUAAAUUACAUGGUAUACAUUUUAAGAAGUGGAAACAUUUUUUUUUGCUUCCAUAUUCUCCUCUGCUAGCUUUGCUUUCUGCUGAAAUCCAUGGCUGCAUUUGUGAAAACACAACAAAUAAGCUAGCAUUUAUCUCCAUCUUGUUUGUUUUGAUUUCUCACAUUUGAAUAUUUGAGCUUCCUCAAUAUCUGGGGGCAUGUUACAGUUGUCACAGCUCCUUUAUCUUUGCCAUCUGAUAGUGCAUGUCUUUGAAGUCUGCUUGUGAUAUGUAGUGAUUGGGAGCAUCAGAGAAGCAUAGACUGUCAGAUCUGCAAAGGUCUAAAUUCCCUUUUUUGCUCGGUGAUCAGUGGGGCAAGGAAGGUUAAGGGACUUACCCAUGCUUCAUAUUGGGUAAGUGGUGGACUCAAUAGUGUAAGCCUAUCAAUAGAUUAUCAAUCCAUACUGUGUUACCACACCAGCCUUUCCUUAAAAGUGCAUUCUAUUCUGCACAGAAUUCUCUGGUCACAUCAGUUUUGAAAAUCCUGAAUGUUUUUUGUUCAUUAGAUAUUCCAAUAACUUCUGUAAUAUAACUUGUUGGAUUCUAACUUGGCAUUUUCUAAGUUUAUUGAUCAUAGUAUUCUCCUUUCUCUCCCCCUAGAAGUCUAAUAAGGGGUUAUACUUCGGGAAAUCCUGUUCUGUGCAUUGGUGAGCUUUGCUGCUGCUGCUGCUGCUGCUGCUGCUGAGGAUAACAAUAACUUUAAUUGACUUACUACGUCAUAGGCACUGUUCUAAAUACUUUACACAAAUAAGAUUCAUUUAUUCUUCACAGCAGCCCAGUGAAUCAGAUACUAUUAUUGCUUCUGUUUUAUAGAUGAGGAGAGGAAAGGCCAGAGAGACAGCCGCAAUAUAGUAAUUGUGCUGCUCAGGUAGUAGUGUUAGGUUUUUAACCAGGGAUUGUCAACCUCAGCACUGUUGGCACAUUGGCCACGUAAUUUGUUAUUACAGAGGGCUGCCCUGUGCAUUGCAGACUGUGAAGCAGCAUCCCUGCCCUUUUCCUGAUUUUGUCUACCAAAAAUGUCUCUAGACAUUGCCAAAUGUCCCCUAAAUUGCUCCCGAUGGAGAACUGCCGUUGUAAACUUAUAGCAGAAAUAUACUUUCUUAAAUGACUUUCUUAGUAAAUUUUACAGUGACUCAUGAUCAUGAUUGGGCAAAUUACACAUUGUAGGUUCUGUGACUGCGUCAAGCAGUGUACACUUAGGUGGGAGUGGGUAUGAGUUAAACUUGACCUAUACUGCUCCCUUCCGCUCCAUUUCCUUACACUGCUUCUGGUGAGAGCCAAAAGGCCAAAAUUUGUUGAUUCUGCCCUCAAUUUCUUUUAACUGCCCUAAGCACACACCCCCAAUUCAUAUAUUGUUUCCAUUUUAUACUUUCCCUUGGACUUGACCCAUAUAAACACACACAAAGUCUUGUUUUUUUUUUUUUUUUUUUUUUUUCUGUGUAAUAGAGGACUUAACACAUCUGAAUUACUCUACAGUAAGAACUUGUGUCUGAGCCAAGAUUAACAGCCGCCAAGCAAAACAUACCCAGCAAUGAAUAACUCACAAAGAUUUGGCAAAGAAAAAGUAAAGUUAUAUGAUGAAAUAUAUUACUAAGGUAUAGGAUUUUAUUUUCCAGUGUGUAAUCUGUUAAAUUCACACACCUCAAAUGGGUUCGAGGCUUCUGGUGAUUGUUUCUUUGAAAUUUAAUAUGCUAUUUUCAGGAACAGCUGAGAUAUAAUGAUAAUAAAAGAGCAAUGAAAUCUUCGGUUUAAAUACUGGCUCUGCCAAACAUUUGCUAACUACAUGACCUCAUGUCUUCUUUCUAAGGGUUUACUUCUCCAGCAGUCAAAUAGAGUAGUGAUAUGAAACUGAUCAGAUAUGAAACUGAUCAUCUUAUUGAAGGGUUGAAAUAAUAUAUAUAUAUAUUUAUACAUAUAUGUGUAUAUAUUUAUACAUACACACACACUCCAAUAUCCAACCCAGAACCUAGUAUGCCAGUUUUCUUCCUUCUUCCUUCCUUCUUUCCUUCCAGGACCAAUUUAUAUGGGGACUCUAUCACACUUUUAAGCUUCAUCUUUUUUUGUUUGUGGUGAGUCUUUAAGUGUAAAAUAUUGUCUUCAAAAGGAACAGCAAUACCAUGAAUUAGCCAGUUACAGAUAACUCUUACUGCAAGAUUGGAUUUUUUUUUUUUAGAUUUAUUCAUUUAUUUGAAAGGCAGAGUUACAGAGAAGCAGAGGCAGGGGCAGAGAAAGAGAGAGAAAGAGGUCUUCCAUCUGCUGGUUUACUCCCCAGAUGGCCACAACAGCUGGAGCUACACUGAUCUGAAGCCAGGAGCCAGGAGCUUCUUCUGGUUUCCCACGUGGGUGCAGGGGCCCAAGGAAUUGGACUAUCUUCUACUGCUUUCCCAGGCCAUAGCAGAGAGUUGGAUUGGAAGUGGAGCAUCCAGGACUCGAACUGGCACCCAUAUGGGGUGCUGGCACUGCAGGCGGUGGCUUUACCCGCCAUGCCACAGUGCCAGCCCCAAGAUUGGGCGUGAAUAGCAGAGAGAGUGCAUAUGUAACUCAAAGUCAAUGAGUUUGGAAACAUCUUUUAUUUAAAGGUAACAAUUAGGAAAGCAAAGGGAAGGAGAUCAAAGAACCACACAAGGCCUUCAGAAACCAAGCUGAACCUCUGAUCUUAGCAGCCAUUUGCUGGUAAGAAUUUCAGUAGAUAUUUGAGUGGCUACAAUAUGUAAUAUGUUGUAUAAGCAUUGAGGCUACAAGGAGAGCAAAAUAGCAAAAAAUAACUACUCUAUCCUUGUUCCCUUAGAAUUUUUAUAGUGAUUGCUUCAUGUCCCAAUUCCAAUUGUUGAUUGCUGCCUGGAGUGCUAGUUUAAAAUGGUUUCUGAAACUUAGUUGAAUUCAUUGGGAAGAAUGCUAGGAUCCGUUAAUAUUAUUUGCUUGAGCAAAAGACAAAAAUAGUGGUAAUAUAAGAUUUGUUAGUCCUCUGGUACAAUGUUUUUCCAAAUGUAGGUAUGACUCAUUGAUACAUCAUUAAAUCAGUUUUGUGAGUCACCAUCAGCAUUAUUUAAGAAAUGAAAUAGUGAAAUAUUAGAGUGCAUUGACAUAGUAACAGUAAAAGUAUUGCUUUGUAAAAACUUUUAGUUAUGUAUUAUUGGGUACUAGGUGAGUAUGCUGACCUCAUAAACUCCCACUCUUUUCUUUCUAUGUUCAUACUUUCUUUACUUCUUCCAUUAUUUUUUUUUAAAUUACAGGACACAUUUGAUAGUUUGGGCCCUAUUAAUCAAAACUGUAGAAUGAUCAUUCAUUCUAGUAGUCACUCUGCAAUACAUGAUAUGUUUAGCCUUUGACCAUACUUACAUUAGAGUUUUCAUGAUUUGGUUAGGCGGUUAAUUGUCUUAUUUAUAGUGAUUUCUGGUGGGAGGCAAAAUAACCAAGUAUUUAAAAGCCUAGGCACUAAAGUGAUUCUUGCUUUUCAGUAGACUAUGCCACUUUAUGGAUGUGUGGCCAUUUAAAAUGUUGACUUUGUGAUCAUCAAAACUUGUAUUUGUGUGCACUCACACAUGUGAAUGCACACACACACAGGGAACACCUUGUUUCAGAAUUUCUCAGUUAUGUAUUUAGGACAACACAGAUAUAUGCACUUCUGUGCAUGGUCAAAUCAUUAUGUCGGCCGGCGCCGUGGCUCACUAGGCUAAUCCUCCGCCUAGCGGCGCCGGCACACCGGGUUCUAGUCCCGGUCGGGGCGCCAGAUUCUGUCCCGGUUGCCCCUCUUCCAGGCCAGCUCUCUGCUGUGGCCAGGGAGUGCAGUGGAGGAUGGCCCAGGUGCUUGGGCCCUGCACCCCAUGGGAGACCAGGAAAAGCACCUGGCUCCUGGCUCCUGCCAUCGGAUCAGCGCGGUGCGCCGGCUGCAGCGCGCUGGCUGCGGUGGCCAUUGGAGGGUGAACCAACGGCAAAGGAAGACCUUUCUCUCUGUCUCUCUCUCUCACUGUCCACUCUGGCUGUCAAAAAAAAAAAAUCAUUAUGUCACAUGGCAAGAAUUUGUAGAAAUAGCAUUAGAGAUAACCACAGAAAAUAAAAAUGCUUUUGUAUUUCACAUAUGAAAUAUACACACACCAUUUUCCACUUGACAAAGCGUCUGUUGGUCCUAUUGAAUUCCAAAAGUGUAGAGAGAAAAGGAUAGAAGUGAUUGUGGUAGAGGAGAAUAUUUGGAAACAUCAGGAAAGAAGAUUGGGAAUAAGAGAGUAAGAAGCAAGGUUAUAAAGAAAGGCCACAUGUUAUCUGUUUCAUUUCUGGUUCCAAGUGCAAAGUGGUCACUUAAAAAAAAAAAAACAAAAACAAACAAACAACAAAAAAACCCAGGGGCCUGGCAUUGUCUGUCAUGUAUUGGUUUAAGCCACUGCUUGAGCACCAGUUCGAGUCCUGGCUGCUCCACUUCCAAUCCAGCUUCCUGCUAAUGAGCCUGGGAAAGCAACAGAAGGUUGCCUAAGUCCUUAGGCCCUUGCACCCAUGUAGGAGACCCAGAAGGGGCUGUGCCAGGCUGUUGCAGUCAUCUGGGAAGUGAACCAAUGGAUGGAAGAUAUCCCCUCUCUCUCUCUCUCUCUCUCUCUCUCUCUAACUCUGCUUUUCAAAUAAAUAAAAUCUUUUUUAAAAAGUUAAACAGUAGUUCAUAAUUAGGGAAACCCUGCUGCAUGGCUUCUGUGACUGUUCCUAGAAUAAGAACUAGGUAAAUCUAAGUAUGCUUUUAAGAAAUUAUCGUAACUACCUUCAGUUUGGAGCAAGAAAGAAUUUGAUUUGAUUUUGGUCCUGUUACUUCUUAGCUCUGUGGCCUUCAGCAAUUCACUUCACUUCUUGUUUCCUUAAUUCCAUCACAUCUGCAAUGGCUUCUCUCAGAUGUAAAACGUAGUCACACAUUUUAUAGGUUGAUUGCCAAUAUUAACUGAAAGCUUAUAUGUACAAUAACUGCCACAUGGUGAGUGGCCAAGAAAUGCUUUCCACAACCCUGUGUCUUAUUUGAAAAAGUCAGAUUUGGAGUAUAUUUUUAAAAUGUAAGCAACUUCUAUGUAAGCACAUAUGGAGAUAUUAUGGACAAGAUCAAUAAGAACAUUAAGUAAAACUUUCCAAAAGGACCUUCACCUGCAAAGGAGUUGUCACACCCUGCCUGUGUACUUAUGGCUACCUGCUUUCCUUGUUGCAGAGAACAGAGGAAAAGGAGCUCACCAAGGCCAUCCCUUCCACUGCCUGGCUUAACUUUCUACUGCAUGGCAAAUUACACGCCAGAUGAGCAGUGGUGCAUCAUGCACAUUUAAUGUAGAUUUGGUAUUUCUUGUAGGUUAAGAAAUUAAGGUUUUACAAAAGACCUUUUUUUGCUUCUUUGAUAGGUUAAAAGAGACAAUUAGACUAUUCAGCCUAGUCUAAUGAAGAUUCCAUCCAAACUUUCACAUCCUAAGAGUCUGAUCCCUUCUGCAAUUAUGUUGUGAUAUCUAUAGCAUCCCUGUUAGCCCUUCUUCUAAUGUGUUAUCCUUAAAGCCUUUUUAGUUUCUGGUUAAUUGAGUUGGUAACUAUACUUACGAUUACAACAUUAGCAAAUAGAGCUGUUCAGUCCCUGACUGUUUCAGUCCCUACCUCCUAAAAUGGGUAGCUGUAGGAAAAGAGCCUUAGUCUGUUUUCCCCAAGAAUUGCUGAAAACAGAACUUCUUCAAGAAAUAAUCCACACAGUGCCAAGUGACAAGCCACACUUGCAUAUGCAUACAAGUGAUGAUAUCUUUGUCCAAAUAGGUACCUGUUAUGGCAUGUACAUUAAAAUUCUUCCAGAGACAGGAGCUUUGGGGAGUGAGCACUUUAAAAUAGCACCUCUUUAUUUGGUUACUGGGAAGGAUCAACCAAGAGUUCCCCCUUGCUUGCCCAAGUGAAAUAUGCCACAUCAUGAUUUCUCUGCUAUUCCAAGAGUUUGCUUCCCUCUAUGAAUAACUUGAUCGUAUAUUUUCUUUUCUGCUCCUCUGUAGAUUGGCAUUGUCUUCAGCUUUCCUGGAAUUUUAAAUGAUAAUUUUCUUGGGGCAAGUAUUGUUGCAGAAUAGGUUAAGCUGCUGUCUGGGAUAUCUGCAUCCCAAAUUGGUAUGCCAGCUUGAGUCUCUGCUCCUCUACUUCUGAUCCAGCUUCCUGCCCAAGUUCUUGAAUCCUCACCACCCAUGUGGGACACUGGAUGGAGUUCUGGGCUUCUGGCUUCCGCCUGCUCCAGUCUUUUCUGUUGUGACCCAGCAGAUGAAAGAUCUUGUCUCUCACCAUCUCUUUUAUUCUGCCCUUCAAAUAAAUGUGAAUCUUAGAAACAGUUGUUUUUCCUGCUUGGUUAUUUAAGACUGUAAGAGAUGGGAAUGCUAACUUUAUGAAAUAGUUUUUAAUUGCCACCUUGCAUAUUGUAGAACGUUUGAUCACCACAGUUAAAAUUCUGGGAGCUGCUGAACAAGGGAUUGUCCCAGUAAUGCCAAAGACAGCUGUUUUAUCACCUUCCUAAACUUGGGACUAUUACAAAUAUGCAGUGUUUUGAAUGCAGAAAAGGCACUUGAUAAAAUUCCACAUUCCUUCAUGAUUAAAAACUGAACAAAUUAGAUAUAGAAGGAAUGUACUUCAACAUAAUAAAAGCCACUUAGAACAAUCCGGAGCUAAUAUAUUACUGAAUGGAGGAAAAACUGAAGAUGUUCUCCAUAGACUAUUACAAAACAAGGAUGCCCACUUUCACUAAGUUAUUGAAAUUUAUGAAUUAGUUUAACUUUAUCUUUUAAGAAUUACCUAUUCAGAAGCAUGAUCUUUAGUACAUAUUAUAUGAAAGUUUUACAUCUUUACUCACAACAUACUCCAAUUAUGAGUCCUAAAGGAGUAAAUGCUUUUUAAAUUAUAUUCCCCUAGCCAGCUCUGUUCUACUGUUCUGCUAAUAUUGUGUCAGAUUAUUAUAAGCAAUGUGCUUCUCUUGAAAUCUUUGAACACUUGAUUAUAACUUUGGGAAAUCCCUGAAGAUUCAGAUAAAUGCUAAAUAAUUAAUAAUAUGAAAAACCAAAAUUAUCUUAAAAGAGAGCCACCAAAAAAUUUAAAAAUGGUUUUAUUUAUUUAAAAGCUGUUAGCCAUCUCUUAACAAUCUUUCAAAAAAAUUGACACUCAUUAUCAAAAUGAUGGAAAAUUUGAACAAUUUUAUUUCUGCUUUUUAACAGCGGGCAUUUUAUGCUAAUCAACUUGCUAAGUUGGAAGACUGUUAGGGGUUUAACAGAUUGAAUGUCACUUGCUUCAGAAGACAGCCCCCAGUUGAUUUUCUAGAGACAAAAUUUUCUGAUGUACUGUUGUGUCAUCAAUGCUUCUUACUUCUACAAUUGUCCCCUGGACCCCAUAUAUAAGGGUACUUCCAAAAGUUAAUGGAAAAUGGAAUUUAAAUAUGUUUAUCUUGAAAAAAUUUUGAAAUCUCUGCAUACUCACAUAAACACUGUAUAUUCACUUGAUAAAUGUAAAACACUGUGCUGUCUGGAAGUCCACACAAUACGAAGGCUUCUUAGCAUGCAAAGAUACAGGGGAUCUAAUCUCAGCUUUACCACAGUUUAUAAUUUUCUGUAAGAAAAUCACUAGGUUCCUCUAGAUGCUUACUUAGAUUCUCACUACUGGAUUCACAAGGAGUUUGUCUUUUUGGAGAUCGUUGUUUCAAGGCCUUUUACCGGUGCAGUGCGACAUCCAUAGCAGCAUUUGGGGGGUGAACCAACAGAAGGAAGACCUUUCUGUCUGUCUGUCUGUCUCACUGUCUAACUCUGCCUGUCAAAAAAAAAUUUAAAAAUUAAAAAAGAAAACAACAGGAAUUAUAGUUGAUCAAAUUUCCAUUGUCAGGUUUCUGAUUAUUUGGUACAUAGAGUAAAUGGACUGCUUUUCAGUAUCUGCUUAUUUGAGGGUAACACAGUGAUGAAGCUGAAUAGGGAAUCUGUGUGGAGGAUAUAGUCCAUCUCUCCUGGUUUUGUAGUUAGGGGAAAUGUCACAAUCACAAGGCUUUGAGAUUCAGAAUUGGGAUUUCAAAAUCAAAGGGAUACAAAUGGGGAAGGAAGAAGUCAAACUGUACCUAUUUGCAGACAAUAUGAUUCUUUCUUUAGGGGAUCCAAAGAACUCCACUAAGAGACUAUUGGGACCUAUCCCUACUUUUGAAUGCAAUGUUUCCUUCACACUCAGUUCAGUGUUCUUACAUGAAUUGUGCUUAUGGCAUACAGUCGUGCAGGGCAAGAUGUAUGAAAAUUGAUUCUCUCUCUCUCUCUCUCUGUCUUGGCUUUGCAUUUCCUUGAAUGAAAAUACAGACUAUAUUCUUAGAUGUUCACUACUUCCUGACUUUGGGGAAAAUGGAAGGAUGGAUUUAGAAAACAUAAAGGUCACAGAAAUUACAGAAUGGCAGCUUCCUGUGAUAUUUUUAGUUUUUAAAAUAAUUAUUACUGUUGACACAUCUUACCUUCAAAGUGCUUGGAGAGUAUUAAUUAACUUUUUAAACUGUAAAGGAAUUCAUGUCAGUUCCCUCUUUCAUAGUGAAUCUAUUAAAGCAGGUAGUAUAAGAUUGACCUAUAACUGAGUUAUAGUAAAAUUGUUUAAAGAUUUUUAAUAGGAUAGCUGAGCUUCAAGGAACAAAGAUCUAAGUGGAGUAAAUAAUGUCCAUCUUAGGAGGUAAUUGAAUUCAUGCUGAAAAAAAAGCUGAGUUUAUUGUCUUGGCAAAUAAAUUCAUAGGCAAAUAAAACCCCUCAAUGGUAUGAGAAUUAGACUGGGUUUAAUUUGAUUUUCCCUGUAUUCAGGAAGUAUAGUGAUGCCUGAUGUCUAGAUUAAGCAUUUUAUAGAUUUUUUUUUUUUGACAGGCAGAGUGGACAGUGAGAGAGACAGAGAGAAAGGUCUUCCUUUACCAUUGGUUCACCCUCCAAUGGCCGCUGCGGCCGGCGCACCACGCUGAUCCGAAGCCAGGAGUCAGGUGCUUCUCCUGGUCUACUGUGCGGCUGCAGGGCCCAAGGACCUGGACCAUCCUCCACUGCCUUCCCGGGCCACAGCAGAAAGGUGGCCUGGAAGAGGGGCAACCGGGACAGAAUCCGGCGCCCCGACCGGGACUAGAACCUGGUGUGCCGGUGUCACAAGGUGGAGGAUUAGCCUAUUGAGCCGCGACACCAGCCAACAUUUUAUAGAUUUUAAUCCAUGUAGCAUAUUAGUAAAGAAUCUCUUUUUUCAUACUUUAGAAUUAGUAAAAAAAUGACAUCUAAAAUUAACCCAUUCAAAUAAAAUCUCAUGGCCUAAUGUGGAUACAUAUUUUUGAAACAAUGAAUAUUUGUAUUCAUUAAAAUUUCAGAACAUCCUAUAAUUUAAACAUAAUGUAAUCCUUAUACUGAACUUCAAAAAGAUUUGUUUUCAUUGAAGGUUUUAUUUCUACAGUGAUUAUUCCAAUAUGGUAUACAUUAUUUCUUGUUUAAUUACUCUGCAAGCUACUCCCAUUUAUGCCAUAUCCUAUGCUCACCUGCCCCUUAAACUCACACACACACACACACACACACACUAUGGGCAAGUAUCAGCAGUGAGUUAAUAUUUAACUCUUAUGGCAAUGAGGAAGUGCUCUGGUAGAUAAAUCCAAGACCCUGGACACUAACAAUCCUUCUUAAGCCUUUCCACAUAAUGAGGGCAACUGAUAGAAUACAAUAAAAAGAAACAUCUUGCAAUAUAUAUAUAUAUAUAUAUAUAUAAUUGUUAUAUUAUUGCAAUAUAUAUAUGUGUAUAUAUGUAUAAUAUAUAUAUAUGUGACUGUAAUUCUAGGUAUGUCCAGGAUAGUCCAUGGUUAUCCAAGCCUUAGUUGGCUCAUUCACAAUAUGGUCUCAGUUAAAAAGAAAACAAAAACUAGCCCAAUCUAUGUCACAUAGUGUGUUUUCUAUAAAUGCAUAUUCCCUGUGGUCAAAAUCAAGAAUCCUAAAAGUUUCUGUUUUAGGAGAAAGAGAACAGACAUAAUUCUGUUUAGUUCCUGGCUAUUUCAUGCCUGAGCACUUUUGCAUGGCAUCAUGGUACAUCCUGCCCUACCUGGCUUUUCAACUUGGUUAGUUUUUAGAAUCCUGUUCUGUUAUCAGUUUCUCUCGGAAGCUCUCUAGGACCGUCUUUUAGAGGAAAUUCUUCCGUCCUUUUCCUGUAUGUCUCUAGAUAAUUCUGUGUUUGUAUCUGAGUGAUGCAUUAUUUUUUAUCUGUCCACCUUCCCUACUUGGUCAUCAGCUCCUCAAUGCACCAGAUUCAUCUCUGUUCUCUCUUCCCUGGUAUGUAAAGGUUAAGAAAUAAGUCUUUGUUGAGGUGAAAUGAAAUGAAAAUCACCAAAAAAUCUUUAAGAUUCAAUUUAAAAUGCAACGUAGCAGUUUCUUUCUUUCUUUUUUAAAUUACUGAGCUUCAUUUUUCAAAAAGUUUGUUAAAAUCUCAUUUUUCUAUAAAAAGUAAAUAACUUAAUUGCAUAAAUUUUGGAAAGCCUAACUGCAAAGAAAUUAAAGAUGUUCAUAAGUGUUAUUCCACUACCCAGAGAGAAACAUUGUCAACUUUUUGAUAUAUUUCCCCAAUCUUUUUACUUAAACAUAUAAAUAAGUAUAUACAUAUUUAUUUAAACCACAUUGGGAUUUUCUAGCCUAUGCUAUUUAGUAACUGCUUUGCUUUUUGCCAAAUAGUUUGUAAUUAUUUUUAAAUAUCAGUAAAUAUUCAUCUAAAACAUUUUAAUACUUCAUUGCAUUUCAUCUCAUGGACUUACUAUGGUUUGUUAUUGAAAAUAGAAGUUUUUUUUUCAGUCUGUUUGUUGUUAUAAAUCAUUCUGUGUGAACUUCAUGUGUGCAUGAUUGAAUAAUAUUCAACCAGUUUAGCUAGACCAGUGGUUAAAAUAUUGAACUAUUUCCAUACUGAUUGGAAAAUAGUCCCAGCCCAGCAAUUCAUGCGUCUCUCCCCUGUACCUCUCCUUCUGAAUUCCUGAUGAUUUAGUAGCUAAGGGGUUAGUGCAUGGCACAGGAGUAGAUGGCACAGGUGGCACCCAUUCCAACUAGAACUGAUCAUAAUAUAUGUCUAAAAUAGUUAACACUCCUGAAACUUUGCAUGAAUCUCUCAUUAUAUCUUUGAAGACCUAGAAGUGAAAAUCUUUCAUUAGUAAAUAUGUGUCAGGAGCCUGUGAGGAAACAGCUCAUUCAAGUUUGGAUAAAUCAUGGAGAGUUCAAUAAAGGAACAAAUUCAAAUAGGGAAUGGCAGAAUGUAAGGAACUCACAGAGCUGGUAAGAGCAGGGACAGUUUCUACCCCAGUGCCUAAAUGUGAGAGAAGGGAGUGGUUACAGGACCCUUCAAGGAGAGAAUCUUUUGUGAGAAGCCCUGUGACUUUCAGUAGAGGGUGGCAGACAAGCUGGCAGCCCCGCAGGGAGGAAGCCUAGGAAAUGGAUAUCUCAGCUCCCUUUGUUGCCUCCCAUGUUCCAUCAGGGCUCCUUGCUACCUCUAACAGGAAAUCAGAGCUUGGGGGACACUAUUUAUAUAGUGCCUAUAGGCCAGUUUUUCAGGAUGAAGAGUUAAUUUGGAAAAGAGCCAGUGCACAUUUGGUCUCUAUUCCAUAAUAAGCAUUUGCCUCCAGAAAAAUGUUUUAGAACCUUAAAUAUAGGUUAUGAUCUGGAUGUGAGUUGACUGUAUUUUCUUUACAUUGAUUAUCAAUAUUGACUCAUAAAGGAAUGCAAUCUGGUGCAGUGUUGGGCAGAAAAAAAUGACAGGGCUAUAGAGUGCCUAAGCAAUGCAGAGAUAGAAAACCACUGAGGAUGUGUGAGCACCUUGAAGAAACACAUACUCCCCACAGAGUUCAGUAUUACAAAGAGUGGGUGUUAUUAACAGCAGAGAAUAAGCAUCCUCAUGAUCAUCUAAAUUCUUUUCAACAUAGGACCGGUGGGCCAAUUCCUGAUAUUCAUGGUAUGUUUUAAAAUUUUCCCAGAGCAGACCUUUAAGAAUAUAUCCCCUUAUUCAAACUUAUUUUUAGCCCCAGGAACCUUUCAUGAACACUACUGAAGUUAGGAAUGGUGUACCUUCCAUUUUUCCUUCUCUAGUUCUGUCCCUGGGGACUUGGAUGAUUUGCUUAAAAUCACACAGCUGGCUGGUUAUAAAAUCAUACCCAAGACUUGACAUCUCCUAACUGUUGAUUCCACCUCUUUUAUCUAUAAAGAUAGAGCCUUCUCCAGUAGUUAUUGAUGUAUCAUCGGAGUCUUGCCCUUAUUCUUCCUGCACUAAACUAGUUAUCAUUGACAAGUACACCAGGGUGUAACCAUACAUCUCUCUCUGAGCCUUAUAUCUGUGGUUCUGUCUUCUGGCUACACAUUAUAAUCAUGUUGGAGUACCUUUAUAAAUAUACCAGUGCUCAUGUCCUGUCUCUAAGAGAUUGUGAUUUGCUCACAGUUCUGGGGUGAGAUAUAGGCAGGGGAGUUCUGGCAUUAUAGUUUUUUUGUUUGUUUUGUUUUGUUUUAAGAUUUCAUUUAUUUAUUUAAGAGGUAGAGGUACAGACAAAGAGAAGAAGAGAGAGGGAGAGGUCUUCCAUCUCCUGGUUCACUCCCUAAAGACUGCAAUGGCCAGAGCUGGGCCAAUCAGGAGCCAGGAGCUUCUUCCAGGUCUCCCAUGCAGGUGCAGGGGCCCAAACACUUGGGCCAUCCUCUGUUCCUUUCCCAGGCAUAUUAGCAGAGAGCUGGAUUGGAAGAGGAGCAGCGGGACAUGAACCAAUGCCCAUAUGAGAUGCCAGUGCCACAGGUGGAGGCUUAGCCUACUAUGCCACAACGCCUAUCCCAAAGCAACAUAGUUUUUAAAAGCUCAAAGGAUUCUAGUGAACAGCAAGCGCUGAGAACCUCUGUUCCAUUGGAGAACCAGGAAGCACUACAACUCCCAGAAAGGGGGGAGGUUUAUUUAGGUCCAACCCCAGGCUGUAGCUGUAUUCUCAGCAGUUCCAUCUUAUCCACCUCAUCAGUGAUUGUGGAAUUUUGGGGAAAUGGAAAAUAAGCCUUUCUUCUGGAAUAAGAUUGGAGUCUAAUUUUGUGACAUAUAUAUUGGAUCUAAUUUGCUCAUAAUUGUGUUAUUUUUAAGAAAUAUUUCGGGCCGGCGCUGCGGCUCACUAGGCUAAUCCUCCGCCUAGCGGCGCUGGCACACCAGGUUCUAGUCCCGGUCGGGGCGCCGGAUUCUGUCCCGGUUGCCCCUCUUCUAGGCCAGCUCUCUGCUGUGGCCAGGGAGUGCAGUGGAGGAUGGCCCAGGUGCUUGGGCCCUGCACCCCAUGGGAGACCAGGAAAAGCACCUGGCUCCUGGCUCCUGCCAUCGGAUCAGUGCGGUGCGCCGGCCGCAGCGCGCCCGCCACAGCGCGCUGGCCGCGGCGGCCAUUGGAGGGUGAACCAACGGCAAAGGAAGACCUUUCUCUCUGUCUCUCUCUCUCACUGUCCACUCUGCCUGUCAAAAAAAAAAAAAAAAAUAUUUCAAGUCAGAGGUAAAUUGAGUAAUAAAAACUCUAGUGAAAUAAAAACAACAGCCUUUGUAUACACAAUAAAUGCCAAGGCUGAGAAUGAACUUCUAAGAUCAAUCCCAUUUACAAUAGCUACAAAAAAAUCCCAAAUACAUUGGAAUAAAAUUUAACAAAAUAUGUCAAAGAUCUCUACGAUGAGAAUUGCAAAACCUUAAAGAAAUAGAAGAAGAUACAAGAAAAGUGAAAAAACCUUCCAUGUUUAUGGAUUGGAAGAAUCAAUAUCAUCAAAAUGUCUGUUCUUCUGAAAGCAAUUUACAGACUCAAUGCGAUACCAAUCAAAAUGCCAAAGACAUUCUUCUCAGAUAUAGAAAUAAUGAGGCUGAAAUUUGUAUGGAAACACAGGAGACCUUGAAGAGCUAAAGCAAUCUUACACAACAAAAACAAAGCUGGAGGUAUCACAAUACCAGAUUUCAAGACAUACUACAAGGAAGUUAUAAUCAAAACAGCCUGGUACUGGUACAAAAACAGAUGGAUAGACCAAUGGAACAGAAUAGAAAUGCCAGAAAUCAAUCCAAUUAUAUUUGACAAAGGAGCUAAAAUCAAUCCCUGGAGCAAGGCCAGUCUCUUCAACAAAUGGUGCUGGGAAAACUGGAUUUCCACAUGCAGAAGUAUGAAACAAGACCCCUACCUUACACCUUACACAAAAACCCACUCAGCAUGGAUUAAAGAUCUAAAUCUUUGACCCGACACCAUCAAAUUAUUAGAGAACAUCAGGGAAACCCUCCAAGACAUUGGCACAGGCAAAGAGUUCUUUGAAAAAAAAACUCCAGAGGCACAGGCAAUCAAAGCCAAAAUUAACAAAUGGGAUUGAGAAGUUUCUGUACUGUAAAAGAAACACUCAGGAAAGUGAAGAGGCGACUGACAGAAUGGGAAAAAUUAUUUGCAAACUAUGCAACUGAUAAAGGAUUAAUAACCAGAAUCUACAAAGAGAUCAAGAAACUCCACAACAACAAAACAAAAAACCCAGUUAAGAGAUGGGCAAAGGACUUAAAUGGACAUUUUUCAAAGGAGGAAAUCCAAAUGGCCAACAGACACAUGAAAAAAUGUUCACGAUCACUAGCUGUCAGGGAAAUGCAAAUCAAUACCACAAUGAGGUUUCACAUCACCUUGGUUAAAAUGGCUUUCAUAUAGCAAUCAACAAACAACAAAUGCUGGCAAGGAUGUGGGGAAAAGGUACCCUAAUCCAUUGUUGGUGGGAAUGUAAACUGGUAAAGCCACUAUGGAAGACAGUAUGGAGAUACCUCAGAAAUCUGAAUAUAGACCUACCACAUAACCCAGCCAUCCUACUCCUGAGAAUUUACCCAAGGGAAAUGAAAUCAGCAAAUAAAAGAGGUAUCUGCAUUCCCAUGUUUAUUGCAGCUCAGUUCACAAAAGCUAAGACAUGGAGUCUACCUAAAUGUCAACUAAAGACUGGAUAAAGAAAUUAUGGGAUAUAUACACUAUGGAAAACUACACAGUAGAAAAAAAUGAAAUCCAGUCACUUGCAACAUGAAAUGGAAAACACCAUACUUAGUGAAAUAAGCCAGUCUCAAAGGGACAAGUACCAUAUGUUCUCCCUGAUCUCUGAGAACCAACGGAGCACUUAAAAGAAAAUCUGUAGAAGUAAAAUUGACACUUCAAGAGGGGAUGACUUGAGUGGCCCUUAUCGUGACUCACUGUUGAGGAAUAAUUUUUGUUUUCUUUUUCUUUUUUUUCCUUCAUACUAUUUGUUGAAUUCUUUACUUGACAUAGAGUUAAUCAUAUGUGUAUAAAGUCAAUUGAGGAUGGAUCUCAUUAAAAAAUCAGAGUGGGAAUAAGAGAGGGAGGAGGAAGUUUGUAACUGUAAAACUAUAUGGUUCUGCAUACAUCCCUACAGACUUACUUCUGAGGGUAUAGUUUAAAAACUUGCCAUGGAACUCCAAAUCCCAGUAAGCUUGGUGAUAAAAAUGCCAUCUUAAGUGUUAAGGUAAUCAUAUUAAGUGUUAAAGUGAACAUGUAUAUAGGAUCAAGUGUCUGGCAAUAUUAAUAGAUAGCAUUAAAAGGGAGAGAAUGUUCCAACAUAAGAAGCAGUCCACAGAGCAGACUCAUAGAAUGACAAUUCCUUUAAGUAACACUCUGACCUUAGAAUAAGCCCUUAAAGCAUCCUAGUCUGGCUGGAAAGCCCAUGAGAGCAUUCCAGGCAUGGAAAGCCAAGAAAUCAUGGCAAAAAAAUGUUCCACAUGAAGGAUCUCUGUGAGUGAGACCCCAGAGGAAAGAAGUGGCCAUCAAAGAAGGAUGUUCUUUUCUCUUAAGGGAGGAGAGAACUUCCACUUUUCUUAUAGCCUUGUCUAAGUAAUGACUGAUUUUGUGGAUUCAAAAGCCUAGAUAGCCUAGAUAGCUCAUGUCAAGAGGUGAUCACUGAUGUCAUACAUGAGUGUUAAUUGUUAAAUUAACAACAGGAGUCACUGCACUAACUUCCCAUGCAGGACCUCUGUUUUUAAUGAGUUGUAUUAUGAGAGUUAACUGUAAAACUUGUUCUCAUUUUUUGUGUGUGUCUUUGUGUGCAAAUUGUUGAAAUAUUUACUUAGUAUAGUUAGUCUUCUGUGUACAAAGUUAAUUGAAAAUGAAUCUUAAUGGAGAAUGGGACUGGGAAUGGGAGAGGGAGGAGGGGGAUAGAAGUUUGGGUGUGAGGGCAGGGACAGUUUGAAGAAUAACUAUAUUCCUAAAGUUGUAGUUACAAAAUUUGUAUUCAUUAAAUAUUUCUUUGGAAAAAAAUAAACUCUAUUACAAAGACAAAUAUCUGCUUAUAAUGUGUGCUUGAAGAUGUAAAGAGGUAUGUUUCCAAAGAUGUUAUCCCACCGUACACUUUAAGUAUAAAUUUGCUAUAUAUUUCUGCAUUUAUUUAAAAAUAAAUGUUAAUAUUUAAGUUAAUUUUAGUUAAUUUAAGUUAAUAUUAAUUGGGGAACAUAUACAAUUUAAUCAGGGGUAUUCAUAUUUCCAAUGUUUCUGUGAUGUCUCAGUAGAAUUAAAUGACAGUAAAUUUCAGUACUGUUACUAGGCAUAACAAGAGAAUAGUAUUUCUAAAAAUACAUGUUUCUUCCUUAUAAAAGUAAAUAUUGUAAAGAUUUUAUGUGAGACAUAGUUAUUAUAUGAAGACAUUUCUAAAAUGUAUGGCCUAGUGUUUCAAAUGGCUAAACAAUAAGUUGUAAAAUUUUUUUUGGUUUGCAUUUUCUUUUUACCAGCAUGCUCAUGAUACCUACAUAGUUCUUGGUUCUAUCCUGACCGUCCCAUUAUGUUUGAAAAGUGCCUUAUGUCAUAUUUGCUUCCUCUGAGUUCAUUCUGCUCUAUGUCUUUAUUUCAGUUCAUUGUUUUUACAGUAGUAGUUUCUUUGCAAUGUAAUAAGUAGAACAGUUUGUGUUUCCUUCUGGCAUCAAUCGAAGUUGAAGUCACCUUGCUGAAACAUUCUCCAUUCCUUUUAAAGUAUUUUUUGCUUGCUAAAAAUCUAGAAGAGAAAACUAUUAUAAAAUAACUAGGAAAACUUUUCCCCUAUUUCUGUCCUAAAAGAGUAAAUAUGCAUUUACUUAUUUUAGAUGCCGUGUGUUAAUUAAAUCCAUUAAUGGCUGUCAUCAGGAAAUGAAAUUGUUUUGAUUUUGUGCUUCUUGUGUAUUAGAGAGAACAUUCUUAGGCUGGCAUCAUAAUCAAAGAUAAUCUCUCUUCAUACAGGCAAAAACAAACAAUUUUAAUUAAGACUAUGUGAAUAGCUCUUUAAAUAAAUAAAAUAAAAAAUAAACAGAUUUGCAGUAAUGUACCUAGCUCUGUGAAAAAUAAAAAUGCCAAGGACAGGGGCUUCUUCAGCAUAUGGGUGAAUAAACACUUUUCCCUUGUGGUUGUAUCUGAUUACCGGAUGCUGGUGGGAGAAGUCACACAGAAGGCCAGUGGUGACAGUUUGAGUCUGAUACUGCCACAGUGGCCCAUGGGCAGCCCUGAUAGCACUCUACCAAGUCUCAGUACUGUUGGGACUUUGCUUCUCUUCACUCCAGUAAGGGGUGUAUCUUUGGUUCUCCAGAUUUAUUUUGGUUUCCUUGUCUCCUCUCUUCUUUAUCUUAAGUUUGAGAUUCUUAUGGCGACUUAUGCCUUAAGUGAUUUCUACACUUUAAGAAGUAUUUCCACAGCACUUUAACUUGUUUAGACAAAACAUCUGAAAACAUGAACACUUACUCUCAUUCUUAUUUAACAUGUAUUAAUAUUUUUCUUUCCUUGGUGAGUAUUAAGAUGAAAGAAUUUUAGCCCUGGAUAGGACUUUGGCAAUACAUUUAGUGAAUGAGUAGCAUAACUGGAGAAGGUACCAAGGAAAAACAUGCAUUAUUUUGUUUUUAAAUGAAGCAGAAUUCCUCUCAUGAACUAGAUUUGGGUUAUGAAGCAUCAAUGCUGCACAUUCUCCACAAAGAGACUAAAACGGGAAUGAUGAUGCUUGCCUGCAGGGCUUUGGGGAAGCUUGGAAAUAAUUCCAUAAUAACAUGUAUAAAGCCCAGCAUCCUGUCUGCAUAGAGCAGAAACAAAUGACAGCUGUUGUUGUUGGUAUCACUUCUGUUCUCUCCUACAGACUGUCUACCCCUCCCCUCCCAACCCUGGAUUCCUUGUAACCUGUUCACUCUGACCUUCACUUCCGUCUCUUUGAUGUGGGCAAGCCAUAUUCUUUCCCAAAAGCCCCUCUGGAAUCUAGCUCUUUGUGGAACCUUGGUAGUCUGUAGGUCUGAAAACUGCCUUAGUGGCUCAGGGCAUUCAGUUUAAAUUAGAACAAAAGCCUCUUCAAAACUAAACAGUGAUUGUGCCCCGUUUGCUGAUAUUCCCUUAUCCACAACACCAAAAUAACCUACAAGGGAAAAUUUCAAAAUAAACAAGUAAAAUCCUCCACCAAAUAUAACUCAGAAUUCCUUAGUCUGUUUCUUUGUUAGAGUAAGGCAUUUAUCCUAAUUUUUUUUUUUUUCUCAGUGUUUUUUAAUUUGCUGUUUGAAAGGCAGAGUCAAAGAAAGGUCCUUAUUUGUCCGCUCCCCAAAUGCCCACAACAGCUGGGACUGGGCCUCACCAGAGGCAGGAGCCUGGAAAUCAAUCCAAGUCUCCCACAUGGUCAUCAGGAUCCCAGUCACAUGAGCCAUCCUGCUACUUCCUAGAGUGUGCAACAACAGGGAGCUGAAUUUGGAAGCAGAGCUGGGACUCAAACUUUGGCACUCCAGUUUGGGAUGCUGGUAUCCCAAGCAGUGCUUUAACUGCUGUGUCAAAUAUUACUAUCACAAUUUUGUUAGUCUGUUUGGACUGUCAUAACCAAACAGCAUAGACUAGGUGGGUUGCACAUGGUUUAUUUUAUGUUUCAUAAUUCUGAAGUCUAGAAUCCAUAGCAAGUUUCCAGCUGAUCUGGUUUCUAGUAAGGGCUCUCUUUCUGGCUUGCAGAUGACCAACUUCUUGCUAUGCUUUUAUACAGCCUUUCCUCACUAUAUGUGUGUGUAAACAGAGAAAAAGGACUAGCUUUCUGGUGUCUCUUAUAAAGUCGCAAAUCCUGUUGGAUCAGGUCCACACCUUAGAUCUCAGUUUAACCUUAAUUAAUUCCAUAGAGGCACAACCUGCAAAUAUAGCCACACAAGAAGCUAGGGCUUUAACAUGAAUUCUUGGGGUAGGGGAAGACAAACAUUUAAUCUACAACACUAAUCAUUAUCCUUUAUUUGAUAACAUUUACUCAUUAUACAAAAGACUAGAAAAAGUGGAAAAAAACUGAUCGCAUGUUUGCAUUGAAGAUUUAUUAUUUGCUAGCUAUUGUGGUAAAGCAUACAUACAUUCUUUUCUUAUAUACAUUAUCUCAUUUGUUUCUCAUACAACCUUGUAAGGUAAGCAUUGUCUGUAUUAGAGAUAGAAAAACAAAGCUUAGAUAAUUUAAGUAAUUUGCUUUUUAUGCCGUUUUCAAGUACAUGUUAGGGUUGGGACAUAGUCUUCUGUCAUGCAGCCUAUAUCCUAAAUCACCAUAACAUUACUAUCAAAUUAUGGUGAUAAUUGCAUGAUGUGACCAAAACAAAUGAUGUAGCCAACUUCAUUGUGCACUGCAACAUCACUUGACCAGGAAGUGGAUACAGGCGGAAUUGGGGCCAUCAUUGUAAUCCAUCACAAUAUUCUUAUUAUACUUUGUACAUAACUUGAUCACAGGAUUUAGUAAAUUAUGUGGAAAUAUAUACUGUACUAAAGGUUUCACCUCAUCUCCAACUCCCACUUGGGAACCCACUGUGAGGUCCUGUCUUCAGCAGAGUUCCAGGUUUAUAAUAAAUGCCAAAUAAACAUUAACUGAAUGGAAUUAUUAAGUGGGAUGAUGACCUUGGGCUGUUUCUUUGUGAUAAUGAAACUUUCUCACCCUCAACUUAAUCAUUUAUAAGUAGGAGAUAAUAAUACUUACCACAGUCAUGUUUCUAGCUUUAAGUAGAGAAAAAUAUAUAUAUACUGUUUACUCAGAAAAAAUAGUUGCUUCUUUCCCCAUCCCCACAUUUUUUCUUUUUGCUGGAUUUAUAUGAAUUUUUAAAAAUAGGGAGUUGUUUAAUUUUAGUCAUUUUGGGCAAGUGGUGCUGGAGUCAUAGAUCUCCCUAUUAAAAUAUCUUCUAUAUUUUCUACUAAUUAAAAACUAAUUUUGUAUAAUAUUGAUCUAAAAACUUUAGGCCCCUUCAGAGACUUAAAAUUAACUACUUAUAGUUUAUCUUGAAUUCCUAUAAUGAUGGAUUUCCUCUCGCUCAUUCUAAUAAAGAACAUAUUCAAAAAAGGAAAGGGGAGUUUAGAAUGAGUAAAGGAGUAUAAUUUUGGGAAAUGGACUCUUUGAGGGAAGUCUAGGCUAAUAAAUAGCAUAGUGGGGGUGAGCAGGGGUGGGAUGUGUAUUGGACAGGCACAGGGAAGAGAGUAUGUGGUCAUCAAGCAGACAAGAUUGGGGCCUAGUGAGGCAGGCAGGGAACAAAAAUCUAACUCAUUUUGCCAGUUUUUCUUUAAGUAUAUUGUUCCAGCCAAGGGAUUAUUUCUAAUGUGUGAUAAAAAUUUGCAGUGUGUGUUUUUAAUAUUUCUAAAUUUAAAACAGUUAUAUCCAUUUUUGGUGUUUUUCUUCCAUAGAAAGAAAUUAUAUGAAAAUUAAAACUACAUAUGUGGGGCUGGCGCCGCAGCUCAAUAGGCUAAUCCUCCACCUUGCAGCACCGGCACACCAGGUUCUAGUCCCAGUCAGGGCGCCGGAUUCUGUCCCGGUUGCCCCUCUUCCAGUCCAGCUCUCUGUGUGGCCCGGGAGUGCAGUGGAGGAUGGCCCAAGUGCUUGGGCCCUGCACCCACAUGGGAGACCAGGAGAAACACCUGGCUCCUGGCUUUGGAUCAGCACCGUGCGCCGGCCGCAGUGGCGAUUGGAGGGUGAACCAACGGUAAAGGAAGACCUUUCUCUCUGUCUCUCUCUCUCACUGUCAACUCUGCCUGUCAAAAAACAAAAAACUACAUAUGUGUAUGUAAAAAUCCAUACAUAUACAUAUUCAUAUUCAGUCUUGCUAUUGUAAAGACACUUUGAAAAGCCUAAAUAUCAUGAAUGCCUUUUCUUUUCCUGAUUAGUCCUAUAAGUCAUCUAUUUUAUUCUAAAAAUAUCGAUUUUCCAGUAUUUCUCCUCAGUAACCUCAUGGUUGGGUGUUUAAACACAAAUGAAUUGAAAAUAUUUUACAGUAAUUAUUUUUCCCAUAUGGGAAAUUGUUGUUUAUGAAUAAGAAGUAACUGAGUGUGCAGUGUCUGGCAUUAAGGUGUGGGCUUCUCCAUAGGUUUUGUGCCUCUCCUUUGGCCAUGAGGUUGCCUUUGACAAUUUGUGAGAUGCUGUUUAUUCAUUUGAAUUUGCUUCUUUCUUUUUUACAAUACCCCCACCCCCAGUUGUAGUGCAGACGCACAUCUGGCUUCUAUCAGUUAGGGAGUAGCUUUAAGCACAUCCUGUUAAAUUGUCUGUUCCCAAAAGCAAUACCAACACAUUCAUUGAAUGUUAUUUUUUUUCCCCACAGUCAUGUUCUUGAUUGGACCACAAAUUUUUCCAUAAUUCUGUACUUGAAAAAUAGGAUAUUCUAGCUCUUUAUACAUAAUCAGCUCAUCCAACUCCAUCCUUAUAUAAAAACUUUUUUUUUCUAAAUAUGCACCAUUAGGAAAAUUGUAUUCUAGUUCUGAAAAGAUACACUGAGUAUUUGUGUUUUGGUUAACUGUGAAUUGUUCUCAUUCUUCAUGUCUGCAUACUAAUUGGAUACAACAGGGAAAUUAAAAAAGGACCCAAGUUUCAACAGUGAAAACUUUUUUAAUGGGACAGGGUAGUCUUCCUCUAUACUUUUAUACUACAAAUUGGAAAAUUAUUUGACCAUGUAAAAAAUUUCCUCCUGUUUUUGAAUAUGCAAAUAAAUAGGAAAAAGAAGUUAGGGCAUGAAUUAUUGUAUUACUCUGCCUUUUCCCUUUGAUUGAUCUUCAUAUAAAGCAGCCUAUAUGACUUCUCAGACAUCUGCUACAUCCAACUAGUAAAUCAGAAAAUGCUAGUAUUCAGUGGUCUUUACAAAGUGAAUCUGUAAUUUUCAUAUGAAAAAGCUAAAAAUGUCACAAGUAACUAUUUUUUUCAAAUAUGUAUCAUGUCAUUUUAAAAUAAUGCAAUCUGCAGCUACUUCACAAUUAAAAAAUAGUAGGUAUUAGGAAUAUUGAAAAGACAGAGUGGGCAUUUGGCAGCAGUUAAGACACUCUGAGUUUGAUUCCUGGCUACUCCACUCCUGAUUCUGCCUUUCUGCUGUUGUUCACCCUGGGAAAUAGCAAGUGAUGGCUCAAGUACUUGGAUUCCUGUUACACACAUGAAAGAUUCAGAUUGAAUUCUGUCACCUAGCGUUGGCCUGGACCAGCCCUGAAUGUUCUUGGCAUUUAGGGAGUGAACCAGUGGAUAAGAGAUCUGUGUUUGUCUUUCUGCCUUUCAAAUAAAUAAAAUAGAUCAGUAAACAAGGUUUUAAAAAAAGGAAUUUUUUGGAGAAGUUUACUCAGCUAAGUCUUCUUGAUUUAACGAUAUAUUUCAUUACCUAAUCUGUCUUUUAUUUGCCAUUGAUUUUAAUCCAUUGCUCUGUGCUUGAUAAGCCAAAAACACCUAAAUAUCUUCAGUUAAUAGAUCAUGCUAUCAAAUUGAAUCGUAUUCUAGAAAGUUAAUUAUUACCUUAUCUACCAGUUUCCUAGCUUCAGGACAAGAUUUACAGGGUCUUGUGCAAUUGAAAAUUCAUAACUACCUGCACCAUCACAGGAAGUACACAUUAUGUCCUUCACGUUUAUAAGUCAGAGACUGUGUAUGUAUCUAGUACCUGCCUUAGGAAACACAGAACUUUGCUUUCUAGAGUCAUUCAAGUUAGUAUGUUUCUUCUUUACCUGUACCAUGGUAGCACUACAUAAAUAAAUGUUUCACUUUUGUAGGUCUAUCUUGUGCUCGUUUAUUGCUUGUAAAUAAUUUUUAUUAGUUUUUAAAUAGAAACAUGAAAGAAGGAAGACAAAAAUAUACUAAAAUCCUACUCCAUUGUUUUAAAAAUAAUCCAAAGCUUUUAAAAUAAUCACUCAUGUAUCUUUCUUAUGCCUUAAUCUUUUACAAGUAUCACAAAAUACUCUAUUAUUUUACCAUACCAUUAUUUAUUUAGCAAGUAUCAAUCAUAUAGGCAGUGAGCUAAUUACACACUAAAAGGUGACAGCUUGGUAUUGUUUAAGUACAUAUUAGUGGCAGAAAUUGGACAAGUAGAAUUAUUAGAGUAAAAACUGUACUGAGAGUCACUAGGAUGUGCUGUGUACUCUAAAUAUGACUUAAUAACCUGCAGUUAACUGUCAACGACUUUGGACUUCAUUGAUUUAAAAUUUUUGUCGGGAUUUCCCCCUGCAGUUCACAAGAAGUCAGUAAACAUUCUCAGAGUUCAUCUUGGAUCAAAGACCAUUGAAGGUGCGGGGGACAAGAAACCAGCUGCAACUUUCCUGUGCUGAACUAUGUCUUUAAGAUUGGACCAUCUAAGGAAGACAGACUGUGUUUGUGUCCAAAAACAAGCUUACAUUUUUCUUUUAAUGAGUGUGUUUUCCCUUCCUCAGGUGCAAGGGAAGAUUGUGGAGAAGUAAAGCUCUGAAGAGACCUAGAAUUGCUCCUUUAACUUGGAUCUGGAGAGGAGGCAAGAUGCUGGCAUAGCUGUUGAACUGAGAACCUGCUAUGCCAACAUAUUGCCAUCUUUCCUGUCUGACAGCGUCCAUGCCAUCUGUAUACCAUUCCUCCAUGUGUUACUAUGGAUGUGUGCCCUUCCUUGGACUUCUCCCCUCCUACCAGGCACUGAGUCAUUCACUCUGUUCUAGCCACACUGGCCCCUCUGGCUGUUCUUUGGAAGCACGGAAGAACUCCCUGCCCCUUGGCUUGCUUGCUUCUUUCUAGUUGUUUGGAUUGCAGUGAGAACAUUGCUUGUGCAGAGAAGUCUCUCUUAACUACAUUAUCUAAAGGGUAGCUUCAGUUACCCUUCAUCCCAUUACUAUGCUUUGCUUUUUCAAAAACGCAGGUUGGUACCUGAACAUAUUGUGUACUUUUUAUUGUGUGUGUGACUGUUAUCUCCUACACUAGAAGGUAAGCUCCUUGAGGCCAGUGUUAUGGCAUAGUGGAUAAAGCCACUGCCUUUGAUGCCAGCAUCCCAUAUGGAUGCUGGUUUAUGUCCCAGCUGCUCUGCUUCUGAUCUAGGUCCCUGCUAAUGGCCUGGAAAAAUAGUGAAGAUGGUCCAAGUGCUUGGGCCCCUGCUACCCAUGUGGGAGACACAUGAAGCUCCUGUCUCCUGGUUUCAGCCUGACUCAGGCCUUGCCUUUGCAGCCACUUGGGCCAGUAGAUGGAAGACAUCUUGCUUUCUUUCUCUAACUCUGACUUUCAAAUAAAGAAAGAAAUCUUAAAAAAGGAAGAAUGGAAGCUCCUUGAGGGUGAGGAAACUUCUCCUAGUUAACCACUAUAUCUCCAGAGCUUAACACAUGGUAGACCCUCAAUGCGUAUUUUUGAAACUGUAAACAUAGUCAUAGAAGAGAGAUGUCAAAAAAUUAUUUUCCUCAUUAUAAAUGGCUUUGAUGAAACCCUGGCUCACAAGUAACAAAUAAAUAAAUAAAUAAAUAAAUAAAGUUGAGUUCUUGGCACACAAAACAUAACUUUUUUUUAACUUUUAUUUAAUAAAUAUAAAUUUCCAAAGUACAGCUUUUGGAUUAUAGUGGCUUUUUCCCCCCAUAACCUCCCUCCCACCUGCAACCAUCCCAUCUCCCACUCCCUCUCCCAUCCCAUUCACAUCAAGAUUCAUUUUCAAUUAUCUUUAUAUACCGAAGGUCAAUUUAGUAUAUACUAAGUAAAGAUUUCAACAGUUUGCACCCACACAGAAACACAAAGUAUAAAGUACUGUUUGAGCACUAGUUAUACCAUUAAUUCACAUAGGACAACACAUUAAGGACAGAGAUCCUUAAGUGCACAGUGACUCCUGUAAAACAUAACUUCUUAAAGCAGUCACUAUAAAUGUAUUACUGUGUCCACAGACUCAUGGAAGUCAAAUUAUUACAGUGAGAAAAUCAUGGGCUUCAAAGUAAAAUUUUCACCUAUAACCCAUAUGUUUUUGGAAAAAUCAUUUGUCCUCUGAGCCACAGUUUUCUCAAUUGUAAAAUGAGAAGAAGAAUAUUGACCCCACAGGAUUCUUGAGAUUAAAAAAAUAAGAUAUUUUAUCCAGAUGAUUCUUACCAUUUGUCUAAAGAUUUAGUGUCUAUCAAAUUUCUGGUAUAUGCAUCUUAGUAAGCACUCAACAAUUUUAAUAAUUUUACUGCUAAAAAGUUAACUUUUUAAUUAGAAACAUAAUCUUAUGUGCAAUGUGUGGAAAUUCUAUGUGGGAACUAUAAUACAUAAAGAAUUCUAUGUCAAGACAGAAAUUUUGAGAGGACAAAGAGUUUAUUAUCUAGGGUCUCAAAUUCUUCUCUCCUGGUUAGUUUACAGUCUUCUUUUAUUUCUGGAGUUUUCAUAGAUCUGCUUUAAGAGGAUCUUUCACAGAUUCACUUUAAAAAGUAAGAAUGUUUAGUAAAUACUAUUUGAUAUGCAUGUUUUUAUGCAUUAAGGUAUUAGCAAGAAUUUUGUAUAAACUAAAAUUCUUUGGAUUAUAUUUGGAUACUUUCCAAAUAAAUAAAAUAACAGUAUUCUCAACUAUUAUUAUUUAUUGUUAUAGAGGGUAUUAUAGCUACCAUAUCCAGAAAGUGCUUAUUGUACCUGUAUUUCAUGCUGCUUAAGACUAUAUUAAUCUGAGCUAUUAAUUUAACAAAAAUGUAUAGCACAAAAGUAUGGUGAUUUUAGUCUACAAAUUUUGUAAGUAUUCUUGGGUGAUCAGUUUAAAGACAAUUUAAAAUUAACUAUGUUAGUAUGAAGUACCUUAAACAGUGUUAAGUGCUUUUCUAAGGUAUCUACAAAUGUAUUGCUUCUCUUUGUGACGUGUAUAUGCAUCAUCUUGUUUUUUCUUUCUAUUAUUGAAGUUUUUAGCCAGAAAUAAAUACACAGAAUAAUAGCCACAAGUCCUGGAAGGUCACUAUACAAGCUCAUGUUGCCCACAAAGACUUUCACGAACCCACAUAGCAGCAAUAGCUGAAAACAGAGCCAUAUCACCUUGUUCAUUCUUUAUCUUGAUAGUGAAAGUAAUUUGUCAUAAGUCAAUAGGCCUACCAGUUUUAAAAACUUGUUUCAUGAGUUUGUUUUGUCUGCCUCUGCUUUUCCCAGAUUCCCAUAUCCUCACCUACAUCAAUUACAGAGAUACCCACUGUCCCCCUGACUUCAGUGCAAUUGAUGAGCUGGAUUCCAAGCAUGGAAAUUAACUUUGAACUUACUUAUAUCAACCUUCCACAUAUGAAUGUGUUUUAUUAUAAUUACUAAACACCUGAACCUUCUUUUGUAAUUCCAAGUGAACAAUCAAGGAGAAGAUACCUCAAAACCUGGGGCAUGAGAAAAUCAAAGUGAGAGGCUAAGAAAUUCGUAGUCAAAAGAACCCAAUAACUCUCCAUGUCAUUGGUUUUCAGACUUUCAUGUUAUACCUGUAAAGUUUGCUUAAAAAUGCAGAUCCUCAAACCAUACCCUAAAUUUUCUGAUUUAAUAGAUCAUAAGUAAGGCUUAAGAAUAUUCACUAAAAUUUUAAUUUUUCUAUUUAUUUUUAUUUGAUGCAUAACAAGUGGGCAUCAUGUAGAAAUCAUUUUUAAGGUGCACCCUAUUGAUUUCAAUCCAGUUUAACAAUAUUCUAUAUUUUGAGAAUAUUUUUCUUGCAUCCUAAGUCAGAGGGCAGGUUUUUAGAAAUCUUACAUAGAUCCCAGUAAGGAACUCGGGCAUGCUUUUGAAAUGAGCCUGCUGUCCCACUGCAUCUGUGCUUAUGGAAAACUGGAACAAUGUUGUAUAAUUGUGCUUUAUCCUCUGAGGUUUCUUAUAUAAACAGCCCAGAUAACUGCACACAGGAGCAUGGCACCAUGGGUUGCCCAUGUGCUUCUGCAGAGUUGUUUUUAACUUCAAUAUUCUUUUCUCCACUGGUUCACAUUACAGUUUCCAAGAUGUUUUCUUUUCUGAUUGACUUGAUCUUGACCCAAAUCCUUUACCUCUAAAUUUUCCUUUUUCUCUAGGAUUUCUGUCAAAUUGUAAGUGAUACAUGAGCUCCUUGAGGCUAACGACUAAGUCUAAUUAUGUAGAGGGUGAAUUUUCAAGAUUUAUAGGAGACUCUUGCACUGGUAAAUCUUUCUGUAAACCAAAAGAUCAUAUCUUAAUUGAUUUAUUUCUUUAGAUUCUUGUGGUUGUUUUCUUUUAAUUGGGCUGUCUAGUUCUAUGUCAGACAAUGAAAAGUAGAAAGAUCUUCAGAAUAAAAUAUAAAAAGAUCUGGGCUCUAGCUGUAUCAUUUAAGCAGUAGACAUGAUUUGGGGAAGAUCAUUUUUUCUAUUGUCUCAUUUUUAAGUUGAGGGUAAUUGUAGGAGAGAUUAUAUGAUAUUUUAGAAAGAAAAAAGGGGAAACAAAAAUAACAAAACUAAGUGUAUAGGUAAAAUGGAAGAUAAUUUACAAAAAGGAAAUAGUUUGAGAUUUUAGCAAUAAUUUUAUUUAAAACUUUUUCAUUCAUUUAUUUUUUGUUAUCUAAUUCAAAUAUGAAAAAAAAAAACCAAACAGUUCUAAGCAAGAGGCAGAAAACUUUUGUUCUCAUCCAACCUGAAUCACUUGCUGGUUUCAGUUGAAAAAGAAAUGUGGUAUUUGAGUUAGCUUUAUCUGGAGGAAAAGUCCUGCUUUUCAUAUACUUUUUAAAAGUCUGUAAAUACAAUGAUAAUGAUUCUAUGACUUUGUCACUUUCUAUCUCUUUGUCCUAUUAAGAGACUCACAUCAGAUAAAGUAUAUGAAACUUUUGAAAAUGAUAAGAAAUGCUGGAAAUAGAGGAUCUAAGGUAUUGUAUAUAAAUCUCUUCCAAUCUUUCCCCCCUUCCCUUCACUCCUACAAAAGGUUGCUUUUGAAAUGACUCGAGUUUUAAUAAAAUUCAACUGUUUUAUUCUAAGCAUGGUAAUAAUGUUUUCAUUUGUAGGAUUUUAAUUACCAUAUGUUUGUAGCAACCAGACAGCUAGACCCAUAGGAGAUUUGCAUGUUGGGCCCAUCUGCUUUCAGCUAUGACCACCUAGAAAUGCAGAUGCAGAGGUAGGAAGCCUAGGAGCAUCCACUAAAAUGGGUUUCCUGUUCCAUCAACACCUGUCUCAAAACCACAUUAACACCUAUCUAGUACUGUUAAUUCUCGCUGAAACUUAGAUGAUAUUUAUUCAUAUAUGAAUAUUUUAUUUUUUAAUAUCUACUAGAAAAUAUACAUUGGAGUUUAUUUUCAAAAGGAACUUUGUUGGAGUGGGCAUUUUAGUGUGGUGAGUUAAGCCACUGCUUGGGCCAUUUUGAGUCCCAGCUACUCAACUGUUGAUUCAGCUUGCUGAUAAUGUGUCUGGGAAGCAGCAGAUAAUGGACCUGAAUGGAGUUGCUGGCUCCCGGCUUCAGCCUAGCCCUGUUCCAUCUAUUGCGGCUAUCUGGGAAGUGAACCAACAAUGGAAGCUUGUUGUCUCUCUCUCUCACUCUGCCUUUCAUAAAUUUUACAAAAAAAAUUUAAACUUAAGAUUUUGAAAGUUAAAUAACUUAAAUACAAUGUGAAGACAAUUAUGAUACGUGAAUAUGACAAAAAUUGUGAAAGUGCUGCUCAAAUAGCCAAAUUUUGGGAAGGAAUUCGUUAGGAAUUCAGGUAACAAUAUCCUAUUGCAGAGUAGCAAGGGGAAGCUUCAUAGAGAAUGUAUUAACUGUUACCUGAAUUGUAUUUAAUGUUUAGUUCAGUUUGAAAAAGAUGUGUGUUAUUCUUGGAUGAAGAAAUUUUAGUUUUAAGUGAGGAUCGUUGGACUUUGCCUUGCCUGCAAAUUGCAAAUAUUUCAUGUAUUUAUAUGCUGUUAAAGAUUAUCAGUAUUUUAAGACAUUAUUAUAUCUAUGUCUUUGACAACAAAUUCCAUUUGAUAAAAAAGUUCAUGUUUAAGUUAUUAUUCUGAGUAUUUGAGUAAAUGUAUGUAAAUGAAAAGGUAAUCCUCAUUGCUAAACUGUGGCAGUUUAUAUUGGUGGAACAGGCAAAUUCUCUGCAUAUAUGCAACAAAAGCUGAAAACCUUUCUUAAAUAAUAAAGUUGCAGCAUUUCAGCUUAUAUAAGUGGGAGCAUUUGCCUUACAUUGAUUGCAUAGUGCCAUGAGACACGCAAAUUAGAAAAAUGACAGCAAAGAUAAUUUGUUAAAUUUGAGAUUCAAAAUCCGUAAGUCCAAAAAGAUCUGUAGUGAGCAGAAUCAUCAAACAGGUACAAGGUAACAUAACAGAUGAAUUAUAAGAAAAUGAUAUAGGUACUGGGUUGCAAACCACCUUCAUAGUUUGCAUGCUUUGGAAAUAUGUUCAAUUUAAUUGCUUAACUUUACAGAAAAGUGAGUGAUUUCACUUGCUGAUUCCUGACUAAUUACUUGGCCAUUUAAAGAAUUCCUAGAAGAACAUUCAUGGAAUUUGUAUGAGCCAGAUUGCUCUUUGCCCAUUUUUUAAACCCAGCUUUCCACUUGCAAAUUUUUUCUGACUUUUUAAAUUGUCUCUGGACUUCAGAGACUUUUCACAGAUAAAUUUAGGUUGGCUCUAUUGCUGCAUCUGGAGAGAGAGAAGUUACCUUGGAAAGGAAAUCCAAAUAUAAUCUACAUAAAGGAAGAAUUGCACAGGAGAAUGAAAAAGAGGAUAAAGGCAAAACAAAGCAAGCAAAUACAAUUGAUGCUAAGUCUACAAACUGAAAAAUAAGAGAAAGCUCACAUUUCAAAACUAAAAUGAUUAGAGUCUCUAGGUGAAUAUUUUCCCUAAAAUUAAUGUACUUUGCAUAAUUCUGAGAACUGAAUAUACAAACUUUUUUUUAGAAAUACAGAAAACUUUUACUCAACUUACUAUGUCUGGCCCAGAUCUUUUUUCCAGUUAUUUAUUCAUCUUCAGUAUUUAUUAAGUACUUUCCAUAUACCAAGUACAUAAUGCCUCUCCAUGGUUUACCAGCUCCAAAAAGAAAAAAAAAAAGAUAAAUAAGCACUGCAAGGUUGGUUUUGGUAAGGAAGUACUGUUUUUGUGUGGGGAAGCAUAAUAAGAGAACCUAAUUUAGACAGGAGAUGCUGAAGGAAAACCAUACAAAAGGAAGAGGUUUGUUUUUUGUUUGUUUGUUUGUUUUUUAACAGGUGGAGAGAAGGAGAAAGAAUAUCCCAGGCCCUGAAGCUAGAAAUUUUGGAACAUUGAGAACUGAGAUGUCUGAAAUGUUGAGAUUAGUGAGGAAAAGAGGGAAUGGGAUAUGCAGUGUAGGGACAGGGACCAAUGCAGAUCUCCUAAGCUUUAUUAAGGAUAUAGGUAACAUGGUAAGUGCAAUGAGGAGCCAUUGAAGGAUUUGAAGUCACUGCCCAUAAGGUUUUUUUUCUUGAAUAUUCACAUUCUCUCCACAGUUUUACUCACUUCUACCCUCUUGCAAGUCCUAAAACUUAAACCCCUUAAUUCUGUCACUACUCAUUAUUACUGACCCACUGCUUUUUGUACCACAAACUUUUAGGGAAAAAAAAAAAAAAGCUAGUGUUGUUUCUACAUCUCCAUCACUUACUAACUUUGACUCUCCAAUCUGUCUUUCAUUCUUGUAACUAAAGUGGAACUGCACUUCCUAAGGAUAUUCCUAACUUAAUAGUCAUCCAACCCAUGGGUCACAUUGACUAAGUUCACUCUCAAUUCCUUCAGAUCUCUGUC